GGAGAUUUAGCUCAGAGGUAGAGCACUUGCCUAGCAAGCGCAAGGCCCUGGGUUCGGUCCCCAGCUCUG
rnacentral:tRNA from 1 species